rnacentral:rRNA from 1 species
GAUGAACGCUAGCGACAGGCCUAACACAUGCAAGUCGAGGGGUAACAUUAUUAAAGCUUGCUUUAAUAGAUGACGACCGGCGCACGGGUGCGUAACGCGUAUGCAACCUACCCAUUACAGGAGGAUAGCCCAGAGAAAUUUGGAUUAAUACUCCAUAGUAUUUACUGAAAGCAUUUUUAGUAUUUUAAAAGAUUCGUCUGGUAAUGGAUGGGCAUGCGUAUGAUUAGUUAGUUGGUAGGGUAACGGCCUACCAAGACGACGAUCAUUAGGGGUUCUGAGAGGAUAGUCCCCCACACUGGUACUGAGACACGGACCAGACUCCUACGGGAGGCAGCAGUGAGGAAUAUUGGUCAAUGGGCGAGAGCCUGAACCAGCCAAGUCGCGUGCAGGACGACUGCCCUAUGGGUUGUAAACUGCUUUUAUAUAGGAAUAAUUGUUUUUACGUGUAAGAAUUUGAAUGUACUAUAUGAAUAAGCACCGGCUAACUCCGUGCCAGCAGCCGCGGUAAUACGGAGGGUGCAAGCGUUAUCCGGAUUUAUUGGGUUUAAAGGGUGCGUAGGCGGGUUCAUAAGUCAGUGGUGAAAGUCUGUCGCUUAACGAUAGAAUUGCCAUUGAAACUGUGGAUCUUGAAUACAGUAGAGGUAGGCGGAAUAUAUUGUGUAGCGGUGAAAUGCAUAGAUACGAUAUAGAACACCUAUUGCGAAGGCAGCUUACUAUGCUGUAAUUGACGCUGAUGCACGAAAGCGUGGGGAGCGAACAGG